rnacentral:rRNA from 1 species
GUGUUUUCAAGGUGGAGGGAAGCUGCCCAAGUUGCUUGGAAGAGCACACCGAAGAGGGUGACAGUCCCGUGCGCGGCAGCGACCCACCGCCGACGAUGCACUUUCCACGAGUCGGGUUGCUUGGGAAUGCAGCCCAAAAUGGGAGGUAGACUCCUUCUAAAGCUAAAUAUUGACACGAGACCGAUAGCGAACAAGUACCGUGAGGGAAAGAUGAAAAGCACUUUGAAAAGAAAGUCAAAAGUACGUGAAACCGUCAGUGGGGAAGCGCAUGGAAUUAGCAGUGUCUCGGAGAGACUCAGGUCGCCGAGGGGGUCACGGUUGGCGCACAGAUCCGAUGGACUGAGCGUCCGCCGGUACGGACCCCGUAGGCGGCUGCACUUCUCUCCGCGGACGAGUCAACGAAUGUUGGGUGAGAGGCAGAUCCGAAUCUUGAAGGUGGCCGGCUCUCCGGAGCCGGUGUUAUAGCUAGAUGCUUGGCAUCUCUGACGCGACAUGGGUCGACGGAACAUUUCCCCCUCGGGGGGAUGGCCCUCGGGCACAAAUGUUUCCAAAGUCGUUGGCGGUCAAAUGAUUUCAUACGACCCGUCUUGAAACACGGACCAAGGAGUCUAACAUGUGUGCGAGUCUUCGAGUGAUCGAAACUCACAGGCGAAAUGAAAGUGAUAUAUGGGGUGAGAUCUAGGUGCCCGAUGCACCCAGCGCAUCAUCGACCGACCUAUCUAUCUUGCGAUAAAGGUUUGAGUAAGAGCACAUAUGCUGGGACCCGAAAGAUGGUGAACUAUGCUUGAGUAGGGUGAAGCCAGAAGAAAUUCUGGUGGAGGCUCGUAGCGAUUCUGACGUGCAAAUCGAUCGUCAAACUUGUGCAUAGGGGCGAAAGACUAAUCGAACCAUUUAGUAGCUGGUUCCCUCCGAAGUUUCCCUUAGGAUAGCUGGAGUUCGGAGUAACAGUUUCAUCCGGUAAAGCGAAUGAUUAGAGGUAUCAGGGAUGAAACAUUUUUGACCUAUUCUCAAACUUUCAAUGGGUGAGAAGUCCCGCCUGCCUGACGGAGGCGUGGACAGUGAAUGAAGGAGCUCCAAGUGGGCCAUUUUUGGUAAGCAGAACUGGCGAUGCGGGAUGAACCGAACGCGCGAGUUAAGGUGCCCAAAUCGACGCUCAUCAGACCCCACAAAAGGUGUUGGUUGAUCUUGACAGCAGGACGGUGGCCAUGGAAGUCGGAAUCCGCUAAGGAGUGUGUAACAACCCACCUGCCGAAUCAACUAGCCCUGAAAAUGGAUGGCGCUCAAGCGUCGUACCUAUACUCGGCCCACACCGCAAGCAGCGCCCGGUGUGGAGUAGGAGGGCGUGGAGGUUGUGCCGAAGCGCUUGGCGCGAGCCUGCGUGGAACGGCCUCUAGUGCAGAUCUUGGUGGUAGUAGCAAAUAUUCAAACGAGAACUUUGAAGGCCGAAGUGGAGAAAGGUUCCGUGUGAACAGCACUUGGACACGGGUUAGUCGAUCCUAAGGAUCAAGUUAACUCUGACGUGUAAGCGUGCACUCCGUGUGCACCCGAGCCGAAAGGGGAUCAGGUUAAUAUUCCUGAACCAGAACGCGGAUAUCUGCGUGUGGGUGUCAAAGCCUCGCGCAGUGUUACGGCAACGUAAGCGAACCCAGAGACGUCUUCGAGGACCCCGGGGAGAGUUCUCUUUUCUUGUUAACAGCCCGCCGGCACCGUGGAAGUUGCUUGCCAAGAGGUACGGUGCGCGCGGCUGGUAAAGCCCUACAUGUGCCGUAGGGUCCGGUGCGUCCGCGAAGGCCCUUGAAAAUCUGGGGGAGAGAAUGAUUUUCGCGUCUGUUCGUACUCAUAACCGCAGCAGGUCUCCAAGGUGAGCAGCCUCUGGCCGAUAGAACAAUGUAGGUAAGGGAAGUCGGCAAAACAGAUCCGUAACUUCGGGAA